CUACCAGCAGGGUCUAAUAAGGUCAUGUUAACCAGCAGACCAUUGUCUGGACUCCUAUAACCCCCAAAACAGCCUAAUUUGAGAGCGAAUGAGUACUGACGGAUCCAUCAAGCUUCAACAUAAUCUGAUCAGUCAGAGCCAUCGGAUUAGGAUGACAGGUCUGAAUAGGAGCCAGACGUCACUGUGGAUCUGAAUUGAGUCUCAUGGAGGCAGACAAGAAUUUGUCAUCUCUCUGGUGCUGAACCUGGUCUAAGUGGUCGGCAGGAGGUAUCCAUGGCAACAGGAUGAGGUUGUCCCUUGGUGUGGGCAAUCUAUGGUCAAUCUUUACAGUACUUAUUGAAUUAGAAACCGCUUACUGCUGUCUCCAUAGUAACAAGAGCUCAAGUAGAACCGUUAGACCAAUCAUGCAUAACUUGGGAUCCACAGAUAAACAGUUUCCUUAUUAUUAAUCAACCACUUUAUACGUAAGUGAACUCACAAUUUUUUGAUGUCUAAGAGAACUCACUGAAAAUGUAAUGUUUUU